GAUGAACGCUGGCGGCGUGCCUAAUACAUGCAGGUCGAGCGAACGGACGAGAAGCUUGCUUUUCUGAUGUUAGCGGCGGACGGGUGAGUAACACGUGGAUAACCUACCUAUAAGACUGGGAUAACUUCGGGAAACUGGAGCUAAUACCGGAUAAUAUUUUGAACCGCAUGGUUCAAAAGUGAAAGACGGUCUUGCUGUCACUUAUAGAUGGAUCCGCGCUGCAUUAGCUAGUUGGUAAGGUAACGGCUUACCAAGGCAACGAUGCAUAGCCGACCUGAGAGGGUGAUCGGCCACACUGGAACUGAGACACGGUCCAGACUCCUACGGGAGGCAGCAGUAGGGAAUCUUCCGCAAUGGGCGAAAGCCUGACGGAGCAACGCCGCGUGAGUGAUGAAGGUCUUCGGAUCGUAAAACUCUGUUAUUAGGGAAGAACAUAUGUGUAAGUAACUGUGCACAUCUUGACGGUACCUAAUCAGAAAGCCACGGCUAACUACGUG
rnacentral:rRNA from 1 species